ensembl:lncRNA
CUUCUAGUCUGCCGCCCGCGCGAGGCCGCCCCCGGAACCCCGCCCCCUACGACCCGCAUCGGCUCCAUCCGCCGCCGGGCCCUUACGCUCCUUCACCGGCGCCUUAGCGCCGGUAAUCCGCCUCCCUGGAGCAGCCGCUGCCACCGUGUUCGCCCCGGACACGCCCACCGCCACGCGGCCGGGCCUGCUCUAGGUCGUUCUCUGCUCCAGUUAGAGCACGCUGUAGGAGUUUGGCUCGUGUGUUUUGCUGGAGAAUUUCUUCGCGGAGAAAAAUCAUCCCUUGGAGCACUCAGAAAACUCCCUCCUUGGCUCCCUUCCACACAUGGUUGGGAGCAGCUCAGGAUGUGAGGGAAAUCACUCAAGUGGGCAUUUACUCAAGAGUCAUGUUAGCUACAAAUGACAGAGCUGAGACCUUUCUGCGUGGGGUUUGGAGCUAAUUCAUAUUCACAAAAGAACAUUGGGCAGGUGUAUGCAUCUACGAAGCCAAAGGAACCGUGCAAGGAAAAGAGCUAAUUCCCAAAGGAGGCUAAAUCCCGUUUUUCCUAAACGUUUCUCACCCUCCACCCCUACUGGUUUGUCCCCUGUUCCUCGCCUUAGUCCGAAUCUCUCUCAUCCCACGGCCCUUCUUUCCCCAUCUCCAAUGCCCUGUCCCUCUCCAGGCGAAAAGGCAGCCAAGCAGUGGCCUGAAAAAUUUCCAGAUACACUUCAAGGAUAAUUUAAAUUUCCUGGAAACUAUCAACCAAAAAUUAGCUGUUGAAAACCUAUGCAUUUGGUACUGGGCUGAACGUCAUGGAGAACCCAACUUUUGCAGCCUGGGGUGUGAAAUUUAUGCAAAUAAUUCUAUUGUUUAGUAGCUAAGCCGUGUCCGACUGUUUGUGUACCCCGUGGACUACAACACAGCCAGGCUUCCCUCUCCACCAUCUCCCCGAAUUUGCUCAGACUCGUAUACAUUGAGUCCGUGGGGCCAUCCAACCAUCUCAUCCUCUGUUGCCCCCUUCUCCUGCCUUCACUGUUACUAAACAUCAGGGUCUUUUCCAAAGAAUGGGUUCUUCGCAUCAGGUGGCCAAAAUGUUGGAGCUUCAGCAUCAGUCCUUCCGAUGAAUAUUCAGGGUUGAUUUCCUUUAGGAUUGACUGGUUGGAUCUCCUUGCUGUCCAAGGGACUCUCAAGUCUUCUCCAGCACCACGUUGCAAAAGCGUCAGUUCUUCAGUGCUCAACCUUCUUUACGGUUCAGCUCUCACAUCCAUACAUGACUACUGGAAAAACCAGAGCUUUGACUGUAGACAUCUCUGUCAGCAAAGUGAUGUCUCGGCUUUAUAAUACACUGUCUAGGUUUGUCAUAGCUUUUCUUCCAAGGAGCAAGCAUCUUUUGUGCUUAAUUGCUCAGUCGUGUCCAACUCUUUGCAACCCCAUGGACAGAGAAGCCUGGCGGGCUAUACAGUCCAUGGGGAUUCUCCAGGCAAGAAUACUGGAGUGGAUUGCCAUGCCCUCCUCCAGGGGAUCUUCCCAACCCAGGAAUCGAACCAGGGUCUCGUGCGUUGCUGCUGCUGCUGCUAAGUCACUUCAGUCGUGUCCGACUCUGUGCGACCCCAUAGACGGCAGCCCACUAGGCUCCCCAUCCCUGGGAUUCUCCAGGCAAGAACACUGGAGUGGGUUGCCAUUUCCUUCUCCAAUGCAGGAAAGUGAAAAGUGAAAGUGAAGUCGCUCAGUCGUGUCCCACUCUUCGAGACCCCAUGAACUGCAGCCUACCAGGCUCCUCCAUCC